GAUGAGCUCACGCACUAUCAGCUAGUUGGUGGGGUAAAGGCCUACCAAGGCUAUGACGGUUAGCCGGCCUGAGAGGGUGUACGGCCACACUGGAACUUAGACACGGUCCAGACUCCUACGGGAGGCAGCAGUGGGGAAUAUUGCGCAAUGGGCGAAAGCCUGACGCAGCGACGCCGCGUGGAGGAUGAAGGUCUUCGGAUUGUAAACUUCUGUUAAGUGGGAAGAAAAAUUUGCGUUUAAUACACGAAAGGAAUGACGGUACCAUUAGAGAAAGCACCGGCUAACUUCGUGCCAGCAGCCGCGGUAAUACGAAGGGUGCAAGCGUUAUUCGGAUUUAUUGGGCGUAAAGGGUGCGUAGACGGUAUAUUAAGUCUAUUGUUAAAUCUUCUGGCCUAACCAGAAAUCUGCAGUAGAUACUGAUGUGCUAGAGGGUGGAAGAGAGAAGUGGAAUUCUCGGAGUAGCGGUAAAAUGCGUAGAUCUCGAGAGGAACACCAAUGGCGAAGGCAGCUUCUUGGUCCACACCUGACGUUGAGGCACGAAAGCGUGGGGAGCAAACAGGAUUAGAUACCCUGGUAGUCCACGCUGUAAA
rnacentral:rRNA from 1 species